rnacentral:lncRNA from 1 species
UGAUGCACCUCUAUCUGACGUGUGUAAACUCUGGAGACAGAAGAGGGAUACUUGACUAUUUUACAAGAGGGCAUAACUAGGAAAGAUGGGAUGGAAUUAAGAGGGUGGGAAGCAUCCAGAGAAAUUGUCAGUGUCAUUCUCUAGCCUCAACACUGGUCUUACAAACAAAAAGAAAAAAGAUGUGCGCAUGCUUCAGUCGGUGUCUCCUGCACAUACAUUUGAGGAAAAUACAACUACUAAAGAAAUGAUCACCUCAGGGAAAGAGCUGCUUUUUAAGAAGAAACAACAUAACAAACACAAAGACACAAACCAAACAGCAUCGAGAGCUGGGAAUCAAGCUCCUCAGAGCAUGAAAACAGCUGAGUUCUUAUCAUCAGGAAAACCAGCGUGACAAGCUUCUUCAGGAGAAUCAAUAGCACACCAUCUUCCCCUCCAGCUCUACUUUUCUGCUGUUGGCAACAAUUCUCACAUGGGCCUUCCAUACACAGAAUCACACUGAUUCAGUUUAGUGACAUGUUACAAGUUCACCAUUGGAUAAUCCACCACAAACUUGUAUUAUGUUUUAAAAUACCACUCACUGUCUUCUGUAAAUUGUCUUAUAAAAUGCAAAUGAAUGGAGAGAGAUGGGCCAACGAUUUUGUUCUAAAUAAACUUUAAGUUUAUUUUUCUUACUGGAGAUUAAACCCAAUAUCUUUGCUCUAAAUUGUAUCUCCAGCCUUUAAGAUUUUAUUUAAAGCAGUCUCACUAAAUCGCUAAGAUCCCUAAGUGGGGCUAGAACUUGGAAUCCUCCUGCCAGCACUGCUCAGAAUGAUGGAAUUACAUGUCUCUGCCAUCACAUGUGGUUUCUUCUUAACUUUUGAUGCACAUUUUCUUUCUCUAAUAAACUUAAUAUUAGCAACAUUGUAAGUACUAUAAGAUUAACUUGCAUAUAUUCUGUGAAAUCCGUAUUUGGCCUUCUUUCAUUUACAUAAAUAAACUCAAUUUAUAAUUUGACCCUGGAAAAUAAAAAUUGGAAAGAUGAAAGGUUUAUCUCAGAAG